AGUCUGGUUUCAUAAGGUGUCAUCAGUCACAGUUAAAUGCGUUUAUCUGGAAUAGAGAGACAUAAUUGAGACGUUCUCGUUAGCCAUAUUACCGUGGUAUUAAAAAAGCAUUUCGACCCAGGUAAAGUGAACGGACUUUUAACAGAAGAAGAAAUCAUGGGUAAAAUCCAAGAACGAUUGUUGGACGAUAUCUGCCAGGACAAGGAGCAGUGGAACAUUGUCAGAGAUACGCAUCUAAGAGCACAUAGGUGUGCAGAUGAGAAUAAGCAACAAAUUCUUAGAUAGUUUUACUUUCCAAGAAUGCAACCAAAAAUAAAAGAAUUCGUCAGGAACUGUCGCAUUUGCCACGAAUGCAAAUACGAUAGGAAACCUAUAAACUUCCCCAUGCAAAAAACACAAAUCCCUACCGGUCCCUUCCAAAUCGCACACAUAGAUAUAUUAUUCCUAGAAAACUUGUAUUUUUUGACGUAUAUCGAUAAAUUCUCAAAACUUGCCCAGAUCAAAUUAAUACAAUCUAGAGCUGCCGUCGAUAUUGUCCCAUCCGUUAAAGACAUUCUAUUAAAAUAUCAAACCCCUAAAAUUCUUGUCAUGGACGGUGAAAAGUCAUUCAUGACAGGAGACCUUCAGAAUUUCUAUAAUCAAUAUAACAUUGAACCGUAUAUAACAGCCAAAGGACGCAGUGAAAUGAACGGAGUCGUUGAAAGAUUGCAUUCAACGAUUUUGGAAAUUUAUCGUAUAUCAAAAAAUCCCGAAAUGUCAGUAAUUGAUCUUGUGAAUAUCUCAAUUUACAAGUAUAAUUCCACAAUUCAUUCCUGCACUAACUUUACCCCAUACGAAGUAAUAAUCCCUUCUCCAAGAUCCCAGACGAUAACCGAGACUGUUUUCAAAAAUUUAACGACUAAACAGAACAACGACAUAAAAUACUGUAAUAAAAACAAAAAGGACAUUGUUACAAACAACAACAUAGACGCAUACGAGAAGACACGACGAAGACUAAAACAUGUUAACCGGUAUAAGAAAAUUAAAAUAACGGACGUUAACAAAAGCACUAUCACCACAGAUGAUGGCAGAAAAGUACACAAAAAUGAUGUAAAGAUCAGAAAGUGAGCUUAUCUGAAAUCAUCUUGUAUUUCAUUACAGAUUCUUCACACUUCUGACGCAAAUCUGAACGUUACACCUACAGAGACUGGAGACACCACUAUUUAGUUUUGAAUAUGGCAUAGGUAGGAUUCAAAUUCAAUCAUACUAUUAUAUACAUCAGUUCAGUAUAAAAACACUCAGAACUCACAUUGAAGUGAAGCGGCCCUAAUCGCUUCAGACAUCAUUAUAGAGACGCUUGGAGAAUGCUUCGCUCUAUUUUUCCAUAUUUCAUUUUAACACGCGCGUUGUUGUCAAUUUACAAAAGUACAUCCACCUUGGAGAUGAACGGCCCUGUUGUUAAUUUUUGUUUCCGCGUAUGCUAAAUUUGCCCUAGUUUAAUUGUGUUGCUCUUUACACAAUCGCGUGCAGAAUCAGCACGAGGAAGCGCGCGCCAAAUUUUGUAUUAGUAAAUAAGAAAACAACAAUUGUAAACAUAACAAAUAAUAAAACCAUUCGAAGCGCGUGCCCGUGAAUUUAGCGCGCGCCAAAUUUUGUAUUAGUAAAUAAGAAAACAAGAAUUGUAAACAUGACGAAUAAUAAAAGCAUUCGAGGCAGUCAAGCUCGGGGAUUAGUACUCAGAAUUUCUACCGCGCCGGGCGCGUUCAAUUUUUCCUCCGAAAGGUCCAUGAUUUUGUAUCAAGCCAGUGUCCAAGUGGUGACAGCGGUAUCAAGUCUGGCGGAUUUAGGGGCUUCCACCCUAAGGGGCGCGUCCUCGAUCCUCUGGACUCUACCAGGGAUUAACGUGAGUUUUGGAAUAGCUGCUUAUGCGGCUGGAACCCUCUUAGAGUGGUAUUCUAAGGAUAGGAAGCAUUCACGUUUACGUGAAGAUUUGGGGAUGGCUAGACAUCUCAUAUUAGAAAAUGCUGUACCUGUUGCGAUAUACGAUCGUCUUGAUCAGUUGCUUAGAAAAACCGAUGAUGAAGAAGGGCGAGUGGAAGAUGUUCUCUCUUGGUUAGAUGGAAGAGAGAGCAAACUUCAUAACGAUGAAAUUUCAUGCUUUUCAAAUGAUAUUUUACGAAAUGACAUCAUGUUUAUUAGUAAUCCUAAGGAUGAUAAAAAGUUGGGGAUAAUUUUUCCCAUCGUGAGAAAUGGUACAAAUGUGUACUUAGUAAGUGUUGUCGAUAUUGAAACUUUCAACGUUUCUAAGGAAUACGUACCUUGUGGAAAUUUAACGACGAAAAUGUUGUUGCAUAAUCAUGUGAAACACAUGAUGGGAGGUUCUUCACGCGAUAAUGAUGUCUAUUUGGCGAGUCGCACUCCGAAAAUGGCACCAGAUGAUGUUUUAGAAACUAGACUUUUCAGAAUGUCGAAAUUCGUCCGCCGACUGACUGGAAAUGAUGAAGCUAAAAGAAGCCUGCUCCAUGCCUACAUUCAAGGUGGCACAGUUAAGUGAAGGAGGUCUCUACGGAUCGUAAAUGCCAUAAUCCCUGACUCUGUUCCGAGAAGAAACAGACGGAAUUCUGAAUAUUGUUUUGAAAUUGUGAUACCAGAAUACAAUGAAAAUAAAUCUGAACACUCACAAAUUAAUAAUGAAUUGCUGUUUUCAUCAACAGUAAUAGAAUUGACCGAAUCGGAAAAGGAAGGGAACUGUUUUAGAAUUCUGGAACACAUCGGAAAAUUAGAAGAAGAAUAUAUAAAAGAUAAUCACUUAAUUAAUACCUUUACGCACGAGCGUACAACAAAAAGCUUCGACCAAUACAUCCAGGAUAUAAAAGCGGAGUUCUUGCAGAAUAGUUUCAAAAAUUGAACAAAACCUCAAUAAAGAAAGAAGCAUUAUGGCAGAUUUUCCAACAGAAAAAGCAUUGCAGAUGAUUCCGGAAUUCAAAGGGGCGGCGGCUGAGCUUGACGCAUUUUUACAUGCAAUAGAUUUCAUUGCGGGUAAAAUAUCAAAAGACUUACAUGAUGAAUUGAUUAUGGUUGUAUUAUUGAAUCCACCUUGGAGAUGAACGGCCCUGUUGUUAAUUUUUGUUUCCGCGUAUGCUAAAUUUGCCCUAGUUUAAUUGUGUUGCUCUUUACACAAUCGCGUGCAGAAUCAGCACGAGGAAGCGCGCGCCAAAUUUUGUAUUAGUAAAUAAGAAAACAACAAUUGUAAACAUAACAAAUAAUAAAACCAUUCGAAGCGCGUGCCCGUGAAUUUAGCGCGCGCCAAAUUUUGUAUUAGUAAAUAAGAAAACAAGAAUUGUAAACAUGACGAAUAAUAAAAGCAUUCGAGGCAGUCAAGCUCGGGGAUUAGUACUCAGAAUUUCUACCGCGCCGGGCGCGUUCAAUUUUUCCUCCGAAAGGUCCAUGAUUUUGUAUCAAGCCAGUGUCCAAGUGGUGACAGCGGUAUCAAGUCUGGCGGAUUUAGGGGCUUCCACCCUAAGGGGCGCGUCCUCGAUCCUCUGGACUCUACCAGGGAUUAACGUGAGUUUUGGAAUAGCUGCUUAUGCGGCUGGAACCCUCUUAGAGUGGUAUUCUAAGGAUAGGAAGCAUUCACGUUUACGUGAAGAUUUGGGGAUGGCUAGACAUCUCAUAUUAGAAAAUGCUGUACCUGUUGCGAUAUACGAUCGUCUUGAUCAGUUGCUUAGAAAAACCGAUGAUGAAGAAGGGCGAGUGGAAGAUGUUCUCUCUUGGUUAGAUGGAAGAGAGAGCAAACUUCAUAACGAUGAAAUUUCAUGCUUUUCAAAUGAUAUUUUACGAAAUGACAUCAUGUUUAUUAGUAAUCCUAAGGAUGAUAAAAAGUUGGGGAUAAUUUUUCCCAUCGUGAGAAAUGGUACAAAUGUGUACUUAGUAAGUGUUGUCGAUAUUGAAACUUUCAACGUUUCUAAGGAAUACGUACCUUGUGGAAAUUUAACGACGAAAAUGUUGUUGCAUAAUCAUGUGAAACACAUGAUGGGAGGUUCUUCACGCGAUAAUGAUGUCUAUUUGGCGAGUCGCACUCCGAAAAUGGCACCAGAUGAUGUUUUAGAAACUAGACUUUUCAGAAUGUCGAAAUUCGUCCGCCGACUGACUGGAAAUGAUGAAGCUAAAAGAAGCCUGCUCCAUGCCUACAUUCAAGGUGGCACAGUUAAGUGAAGGAGGUCUCUACGGAUCGUAAAUGCCAUAAUCCCUGACUCUGUUCCGAGAAGAAACAGACGGAAUUCUGAAUAUUGUUUUGAAAUUGUGAUACCAGAAUACAAUGAAAAUAAAUCUGAACACUCACAAAUUAAUAAUGAAUUGCUGUUUUCAUCAACAGUAAUAGAAUUGACCGAAUCGGAAAAGGAAGGGAACUGUUCUAGAAUUCUGGAACACAUCGGAAAAUUAGAAGAAGAAUAUAUAAAAGAUAAUCACUUAAUUAAUACCUUUACGCACGAGCGUACAACAAAAAGCUUCGACCAAUACAUCCAGGAUAUAAAAGCGGAGUUCUUGCAGAAUAGUUUCAAAAAUUGAACAAAACCUCAAUAAAGAAAGAAGCAUUAUGGCAGAUUUUCCAACAGAAAAAGCAUUGCAGAUGAUUCCGGAAUUCAAAGGGGCGGCGGCUGAGCUUGACGCAUUUUUACAUGCAAUAGAUUUCAUUGCGGGUAAAAUAUCAAAAGACUUACAUGAUGAAUUGAUUAUGGUUGUAUUAUUGAAUCCACCUUGGAGAUGAACGGCCCUGUUGUUAAUUUUUGUUUCCGCGUAUGCUAAAUUUGCCCUAGUUUAAUUGUGUUGCUCUUUACACAAUCGCGUGCAGAGUCAGCACGAGGAAGCGCGCGCCAAAUUUUGUAUUAGUAAAUAAGAAAACAACAAUUGUAAACAUAACAAAUAAUAAAACCAUUCGAAGCGCGUGCCCGUGAAUUUAGCGCGCGCCAAAUUUUGUAUUAGUAAAUAAGAAAACAAGAAUUGUAAACAUGACGAAUAAUAAAAGCAUUCGAGGCAGUCAAGCUCGGGGAUUAGUACUCAGAAUUUCUACCGCGCCGGGCGCGUUCAAUUUUUCCUCCGAAAGGUCCAUGAUUUUGUAUCAAGCCAGUGCCGAAGACGGUCGGUUCAGAAGACCUAAGAAAUAAAUUUGAUCAGAUCGAUAAGAAUCAAUUUUCAGAAAUAAUAUUGGAAAAAUUUGAUGAAAUCAAUCAUGCUUUGGAUAACAUAAUACCCGACAAAACAAUAAGACAAAAACGAUGGGAUGCUGUAGGAACCAUUUGGAAAUUUAUCGCAGGGUCGCCUGAUGCAGGUGAUUUGAGAAUGAUAAAUUCAAGUAUCAAUGAUCUCAUUUACAAUAAUAAUAGACAGGUCAAAAUAAAUCGAGAUAUUUCGCUUCAAUUAAAAGAAUCAGUCUUCAAAACCAAAGAUGCCAUACAGCUGUUUAAAUCAAAAACAUCAGAGUUCUAUUCCAUCAAUAUUCUGUUUAAUUUGAAAAAUCUGCAUGAAAAAAUAGAAAACAUUGUUGAAACGAUAAUGCUAGCUAAAUUAGGGAUCCUAAAUCAGAAAGUUGUGUCUAAAAACGAAUUAGAAAUGUUAAGGAGGGAUCUAGAAAAAGAAAAUGUUACAGUUCAUUCGUCAUCAGAAGCAGCCACAUUUGCCAGAACAUCAAUAGCUACCAAUCACCGAGAAAUCAUACUUUUUAUCAAGAUGCCGAAAUUGAAUUCCAGAUUUUUCCGAAAGAUCCAUGUAACCCAACUUUUCAUAAUCAACGACAAGUUCAUGCAACCAAAAAGUUUUUCCUGAUACACCAUACCGCAAGAUUCACAGUCAAGACGCUGGAACCAACAAUUUACAACAUUGAAGAUACUGAAUUAGCCGAUUCCACAUGCAUACCGAAUCUCCUAGAUGAAAAAGCAGCCAUUUGCAACUACACUUCGAAGUCGCCACGAGCUGCUGUGCAUGCAGAACUAUUGGGGGGAACUGUAACAUUAAUGUAAUCAAUAAAGUUAGUCUGAAGUCAGGUGUUGACGAGUGUAG